rnacentral:rRNA from 1 species
GACGGAGGAUGCAAGCGUUAUCCGGAAUUAUUGGGCGUAAAGCGUCCGUAGGCGGUUGUACAAGUCUGAUGUUAAAGCCCACAGCUCAACUGUGGAUGGGCAUUGGAAACUGUAUAACUAGAGAGUGGUAGGGGUAGAGGGAAUUCCUAGUGUAGCGGUGAAAUGCGUAGAUAUUAGGAAGAACACCAGUGGCGAAGGCGCUCUACUGGGCCAUUACUGACGCUGAUGGACGAAAGCUAGGGGAGCGAAAGGG